rnacentral:rRNA from 1 species
AUGAACGCUGGCGGCGUGCUUAACACAUGCCAGUCGAACGAUGAUGCCCAGCUUGCUGGGUGGAUUAGUGGCGAACGGGUGAGUAACACGUGAGUAACCUGCCCUUGACUCUGGGAUAAGCCUGGGAAACUGGGUCUAAUACCGGAUACGACCAUCUGGCGCAUGUCAUGGUGGUGGAAAGCUUUUGUGGUUUUGGUUGGACUCGCGGCCUAUCAGCUUGUUGGUGGGGUGAUGGCCUACCAAGGCGACGACGGGUAGCCGGCCUGAGAGGGUGACCGGCCACACUGGGACUGAGACACGGCCCAGACUCCGACGGGAGGCAGCAGUGGGGAAUAUUGCACAAUGGGCGCAAGCCUGAUGCAGCGACGCCGCGUGAGGGAUGACGGCCUUCGGGUUGGAAACCUCUUUCAGUAGGGAAGAAGCGAAAGUGACGGUACCUGCAGAAGAAGCGCCGGCUAACUACGUG